GACACCAAGUGCUGAGGUCCUGUCUCAGCCUCAUACAGACCAAUCGACACCAAGUGCUGAGGUCCUGUCUCAGCCUCAUACAGACCAAUCGACACCAAGUGCUGAGGUCCUGUCUCAGCCUCAUACAGACCAAUCGACACCAAGUGCUGAGGUCCUGUCUCAGCCUCAUACAGACCAAUUGCUGGGAAGGUGAGAAGCAAGUGGACAAAUGAUGAAGUAAAGGUUGCUGCAAAGUACCAGGUAAAAGGAAUGUGACUGCUGCUUCCAAGCAGAGCCGGCAGCUCGUAAAGGCAGAGACUGGGUUGCCAUAAAGUACUACAUCCACAACAGGAUCAUUGCAUUAAAAGAAAGAUGCAAGGAAAAAAAGAAACAACCAAGAGAGAUACUUUGUUGCUUCCACAGUUAUGUCAAUAUUGUAGUUUUCUGUAUUGCAUUGUUCUUACUCAUAAAUCUGUGGUUUAUGCUGGGUGCUUUUUCCAAUUAAAU
ensembl:lncRNA